rnacentral:rRNA from 1 species
GUAGGUGGCAAGCGUUGUCCGGAAUUAUUGGGCGUAAAGCGCGCGCAGGCGGGUCCGUUUAAGUCCUGAUGUGAAAGCCCACGGGCUCAACCGUGGAGGGUCAUUGGAAACUGGGGGACUUGAGUACAGAAGAGGAAAGCGGAAUUCCAAGUGUAGCGGUGAAAUGCGUAGAGAUUUGGAGGAACACCAGUGGCGAAGGCGGCUUUCUGGUCUGUAACAGACGCUGAGGCGCGAAAGCGUGGGGAGCAAACAGGAUUAGAUACCCUGGUAGUCCACGCCGUAAACGAUGAGUGCUAAGUGUUAGGGGGUUUCCGCCCCUUAGUGCUGCAGCUAACGCAUUAAGCACUCCGCCUGGGGAGUACGGCCGCAAAGGCUG